GUGCCAGCCGCCGCGGUAAUACCAGCCCCGCGAGUGAUCGAGACGUUUAUUGGGCUUAAAGCGCCCGUAGCCGGCCCGUAAAGUCACCGUUUAGAGACCCGAGCUCAACUCGGGGAGUGGCGGUGAUACUUACGGGCUAGGGGGCGGGAAAGGUCGGAGGUACUCCCGGAGUAGGGGCGAAAUCCUCAGAUCCCGGGAGGACCACCAGUGGCGAAAGCGUCCGGCUAGAACGCGCCCGACGGUGAGGGGCGAAAGCGGGGUAGCAAAAGGGAUUAGAUACCCCUGUAGUCCCGGCUGUAAACGAUGCGGGCUAGGUGUCGCGUGGGCUUUGAGCCACGGGUGCCGCAGGAAAACUGGUAAGCCCGCCGCCUGGGGAGUACGGCCGCAAGGUGAAACUUAAAGGAAUUGGCGGGGGAGCACCACAAGGGGCGGAACCUGCGGCUCAAUUGGAGUCAACGCCUGGAAUCUCACCGGGGGAGACCGCAGAUGACGGCCAGGCUAACGACCUUGCCAGACUCGCGGAGAGGAGGUGCAUGGCCGUCGCCAGCUCGUGUUGUGAAAUGUCCGGUUAAGUCCGGCAACGAGCGAGACCCCACUUCUAGUUGGUAGCCGUUCCUCCGGGGAUGGCCCACACUAGAAGGACUGCCGGUGUUAAACCGGAGGAAGGAGGGGGCCACGGCAGGUCAGCAUGCCCCGAAACCUCCGGGCCGCACGCGGGUUACAAUGGCAGGGACAGCGGGAUCCGACCCCGAAAGGGGAAGGCAAUCCCACAAACCCUGCCUCAGUUGGGAUCGAGGGCUGAAACUCGCCCUCGUGAACGAGGAAUCCCUAGUAACCGCGGGUCAACAACCCGCGGUGAAUACGUCCCUGCUCCUUGCACACACCGCCCGUCGCUCCACCCGAGUGGAGGAGAAGUGAGCCCUCUUGCUUCGGGGUGGGAGGUCGAGCUUCUCCUCCGCGAGGGGGGAGAAGUCGUAACAAGGUAGCCGUAGGGGCAACUGCGGCUGGAUCACCUCCUU
rnacentral:rRNA from 1 species